GCCCAUCUUCCUUUAUAGCCUGUAGCCCAGUGGUUAAAGUACUCACCCGAUGUAUGAGAGGCCCCCAGUUCUGCCUGACAAAAAAGGACUGGAACAGGGAUCUGCCAACUCUUAGUUCCCAGAGAAUCACUUGGCUGUUGUGCAAGCCAGAGCCAGGAGAGAUUCCACAGCUGCAGAACCCCACUGAUAUUUAGUGGCAAGCAAAGAACUGCAUUUUUUUUUCCCAGAGCUCAGCUGUGUGAAAUACACUGAAUGCAAAAUCAUGGAUGAUUCAAGACAAGACUAUGGGAGAGUGAAGUUCUUCUGCAAGAUUACAUCCAUUGCUAUAUUAAGUGGCACAAAAUCUCCUAGUCAUUCUAGCCUUUGAAAAUGAGGAUCUAAACUGAGUGAUUGUGCUCAUAUUCUUUAUUUGAGUGGGUGGCUGCCACUCAGAACCUAUCUUCAUUGAUACCAAAUGACUGUGACCGUAAGAAAUGACGGGGGGGGGAAAGAGCAUACAAAAGAACCCUACAAGUGUGUAUUUAAAACAGAAAAAGGUAGCGUGUGUGAUGCAGUAUGAAGCAUUGUGUACAGUUAAUCAUUUUCCUUCAUACAUUUGUUCUGUUAGAUGUAAUAGCUUACUUGUAAUCUAAAAAUUAGCCAAUUAAGAAUGUGGUUUUCUCAUUCUUUUAAUUUUAG